rnacentral:rRNA from 1 species
GAAAGGAGGAAUCCGGUGGCGGCUGGGCAUGCGGCGCAUUAGCUUGACGGCGGGGUAACGGCCCACCGUGGCGACGAUGCGUAGGGGUUCUGAGAGGAAGGCCCCCCACACUGGAACUGAGACACGGUCCAGACUCCUACGGGAGGCAGCAGUGAGGAAUAUUGGUCAAUGGGCGGAAGCCUGAACCAGCCAAGUCGCGUGAGGGAAUAAGGCCCUACGGGUCGUAAACCUCUUUUGCCGGGGAGCAAGGGCCGGGACGCGUCCCGGCCCGGAGAGUACCCGGAGAAAAAGCAUCGGCUAACUCCGUGCCAGCAGCCGCGGUAAUACGGAGGAUGCGAGCGUUAUCCGGAUUUAUUGGGUUUAAAGGGUGCGUAGGCGGGCUUUUAAGUCAGCGGUAAAAAUUCGGGGCUCAACCCCGUCCGGCCGUUGAAACUGGGGGCCUUGAGUGGGCGAGAAGAAGGCGGAAUGCGUGGUGUAGCGGUGAAAUGCAUAGAUAUCACGCAGAACCCCGAUUGCGAAGGCAGCCUUCCGGCGCCCUACUGACGCUGAGGCACGAAAGUGCGGGGAUCGAACAGGAUUAGAUACCCUGGUAGUCCGCACAGUAAACGAUGGAUGCCAGCUGUCCGGGCCGAAUGGGGCCUGGGUGGC